rnacentral:rRNA from 1 species
GACGAACGCUGGCGGCGUGCUUAACACAUGCAAGUGGAGCGACGAACCGGGGCUUGCCCCGGGGCAGAGCCGCGAACGGGUGAGUAACACGUGGGUUACCUGCCCUGAUGACCGGGACAACCCGUCGAAAGACGGGCUAAUACCGGAUGUGCCCGCAAGGGGAAAGGAGGCGUAAGCUUCCGCAUCGGGAUGGGCCCGCGGAGCAUUAGCUUGUUGGUGAGGUAAAAGCUCACCAAGGCUU